rnacentral:tRNA from 1 species
GCGGUCGUAGUCUAGCUUGGUUAGGACCUCGGCCUCCCACGCCGACGACCCGGGUUCAAAUCCCGGCGACCGCA